GGCGAACGUUAGCGGCGGGCCUAACACAUGCAAGUCGAACGCGAAAGGUCUUCGGACUGAGUAGAGUGGCGCACGGGUGAGUAACACGUAGGUAAUCUACCCUUUGGCGGGGGAUAACGUUCCGAAAGGAGCGCUAAUACCGCAUAAGACCACGGAGUCUCCGGACGCUGUGGGAAAAGGUGGCCUCUUCUUGAAAGCUACCACCGAAGGAUGAGCCUGCGUCCCAUCAGCUAGUUGGUAAGGUAAUGGCUUACCAAGGCGAAGACGGGUAGCUGGUUUGAGAGAAUGAUCAGCCACACUGGCACUGGAACACGGGCCAGACUCCUACGGGAGGCAGCAGUGAGGAAUAUUGGGCAAUGGGCGAAAGCCUGACCCAGCCACGCCGCGUGAGUGAUGAAGGCCCUCGGGUCGUAAAGCUCUGUGGAGAGGGACGAAAACCCUGGUUUCAAAUAGGCUCCAGGCUUGACGGUACCUCUUUAGCAAGCACCGGCUAACUCUGUGCCAGCAGCCGCGGUAA
rnacentral:rRNA from 1 species